rnacentral:sRNA from 1 species
GAGCGGCAAAACCAUAAAAGCCAGCUAUGAUGCCAUGAAAUGAAGUUCGCUCCUGUGUGUUUUAGGAACAGGCAGCGUUAAAUAUUUAUCUGCAGUUUGGCUAACUGGAACGCACUGCUGACCUUCGUGCGGCCCACACUUCCCGCCGCUCUCGCGUAAUUAGGAUGUCAGGAUAGCGAAAGAAAAGGACUUGACACAGUACACCGUGCUGCAGGCCGAAUAGAACUCAGGGAGCGGACUCGUACAAGUCCCUUAUAUACCAGCCAGGACCAGGACGCACGAGAGGAGAGCCAAGGCCCAGGGCGCAGGCGCAAAGCGGAAACGGUGUCAACUCACUGCUGGCCUACUGUUGUGGUGUCCUAGUCAAAUAAACGAAGAGAGAGGAUACAUGCAACAGCAUAUCCAUGGAAAUGCUUAGGUUGGAAAGAGCGAAACGAGUCUAAGUGUGAAAGUUGUCUCUUUGCUGUCAACCAUCAGCUGUUGAUUGCAAUUGAACAGGAAAAUACCUACUUUGUUUUUAAGUACCACUAUUAAAAUGGCAUUACAUUUUGAAACAUGUUAAAUGCAAAACCUA